rnacentral:lncRNA from 13 species
UACAUGUUGAAACGUUCAAAUGUUGCGUUCGUAACCAAGUGGAAAGGUUGUAUUUACAACACUAACGCCCCUCCAUAUUUUAACUUGUAUAUGGUUUUUGAACACUAUAAUUAGUUUACAAGCAUGAUAGCUGUACUUUUAGUUUUGGGUUUUACCAGCUUGUUGGCAAUUAGCUAAUCUGAGUUUCUCAGUGAGUUCUACUAGUGAAACUAAAAGGGUGCAUACUGUCACCCUGUGUGUGUUGUUUGAACAGGUAUAAAGCUAAGGUUGGUGAUUUACUGCCACCUGCAGUUUACAGAAGGCUGCUGUGGGGAGGAUAGCUCAUAAUAAUGGAUGGAAUGGAGCCAAUGGAACAGUAUCAAACACAUGGAAACCAUGUGUUUGGUGUGUUCGAUACCAUUCCAUUGAUUCCGUUCCAGCCAUAGGAGCCCGUCCUCCCCAAGGUACCACCGGCCUCCUGUGCUUCAGUCCUGGGGUUCCCGAGAGGCGCAGCAGUCUAAAGCACUGCAUCUCAGUGCUUGAGGCAUCACUACAGACACCCUGGUUCGAAUCCAGGCUGCAUCACAACCGGCCGUGAUUGGGAGUCCCAUAGGGCGGCUUACAAUUGGCCCAGCAUGGUCCAGGUUUGGCUGGUGUAGGCCCUCAUUGUAAAUAAGAAUCUGUUCUUAACUGACUUGCCUAGUUAAAUAAAUACAACUGGAAUGUUUGUUCAUGAUACAUUGGGCCAUCCCUCCUGAUGACCUGGAAGGAAUCAUUUAAUCGUUCCCACCCUGUGUUGACUACCUCAAAAUGGUGAAAGUCCUCAAUGGCGCUGCCCAUGCUAAAACAGACUUUUGGGCACUAGAGUCCUCUAUCUAUCUCUAUGGCUGUAACAGGGUAGAGGACAGGUGCCUCUGAAUUAUGGUACACUCAUGGAACAUUUCCUUUGAGGAUUUACCCCUGUGUUUUACCCAAAAGGCUCAGACUUUUCUGUUUCCAUCUACAUGGGCCGGCACCCGUGUCUCACUGGGCCAUGGCUCCGGAGGACCUGCUCUAACUUGGUUCCAAGGUCACCAGGCUGCUCAAGUAUCACCAGCAUAAGGCGCAUAAUGAAACUCACCUGGACUCCAUCACCUCCUUGAUGUCACUCCCUUUGGUUUCUUCCCGAGUCGUCAUUGUAUCAUGUCGGUGCGCUGUUCAUGUUU